CCUACGCGAGGCAGCAGUGAGGAAUAUUGGUCAAUGGGCGGGAGCCUGAACCAGCCAAGUCGCGUGAGGGAUGACUGCCCUAUGGGUUGUAAACCUCUUUUGCCGGGGAGCAAAGUGCCGCACGUGUGCCGUUUGGAGAGUACCCGGAGAAAAAGCAUCGGCUAACUCCGUGCCAGCAGCCGCGGUAAUACGGAGGAUUCAAGCGUUAUCCGGAUUUAUUGGGUUUAAAGGGUGCUUAGGCGGGCGGUUAAGUUAGUGGUGAAAUCCCGCGGCUCAACUUCGGAAUUGCCUUUGAUACUGUUCGGCGAGAGAGUAGUUGCGGUAGGCGGAAUGUAUGGUGUAGCGGUGAAAUGCUUAGAGAUCAUACAGAACACCGAUUGCGAAGGCAGCUUACCAAGCUACUUCUGACGUUGAGGCACGAAAGCGUGGGUAGCAAACAGGAUUAGAUACCCCUGUAGUC
rnacentral:rRNA from 1 species